rnacentral:rRNA from 1 species
UAGGGAAUCUUCCGCAAUGGACGCAAGUCUGACGGAGCAACGCCGCGUGAGUGAAGAAGGAUUUCGGUUCGUAAAACUCUGUUGUUAGAGAAGAACAGCGCAUAGAGUAACUGUUAUGCGUGUGACGGUAUCUAACCAGAAAGCCACGGCUAACUACGUGCCAGCAGCCGCGGUAAUACGUAGUUGGCAAGCGUUGUCCGGAUUUAUUGGGCGUAAAGCGAGCGCAGGCGGUCAAUUAAGUCUGAUGUGAAAGCCCCCGGCUCAACCGGGGAGGGUCAUUGGAAACUGGUUGACUUGAGUGCAGAAGAGGAGAGUGGAAUUCCAUGUGUAGCGGUGAAAUGCGUAGAUAUAUGGAGGAACACCAGUGGCGAAGGCGACUCUCUGGUCUGUAACUGACGCUGAGGCUCGAAAGCGUGGGUAGCAAACAGG